GACGAACGCUGGCGGCGUGCUUAACACAUGCAAGUCGAACGGAAAGGCCCUGCUUUUGUGGGGUGCUCGAGUGGCGAACGGGUGAGUAACACGUGAGUAACCUGCCCUUGACUUUGGGAUGACUUCAGGAAACUGGGGCUAAUACCGGAUCGGAGCUCCUGCUGCAUGGUGGGGGUUGGAAAGUUUCGGCGGUUGGGGAUGGACUCGCGGCUUAUCAGCUUGUUGGUGGGGUAGUGGCUUACCCAGGCUUUGACGGGUAGCCGGCCUGAGAGGGUGACCGGCCACAUUGGGACUGAGAGACGGCGCAGUCUCCUACGGGAGGCAGCAGUGGGGAAUAUUGCACAAUGGGCGGAAGCCUGAGGCAGCAACGCCGCGGUCGGGAUGACGGCCUUCGGGGUGUAAACCGCUUUCGCCUGUGACGAAGCGUGAGUGACGGUAAUGGGUAAAGAAGCACCGGCUAACUACGUG
rnacentral:rRNA from 1 species